rnacentral:rRNA from 1 species
UUAAGCGACUAAGCGUACACGGUGGAUGCCCUGGCAGUCAGAGGCGAUGAAGGACGUGCUAAUCUGCGAUAAGCGUCGGUAAGGUGAUAUGAACCGUUAUAACCGGCGAUUUCCGAAUGGGGAAACCCAGUGUGAUCCGUCACACUAUCAUUAACUGAAUCCAUAGGUUAAUGAGGCGAACCGGGGGAACUGAAACAUCUAAGUACCCCGAGGAAAAGAAAUCAACCGAGAUUCCCCCAGUAGCGGCGAGCGAACGGGGAGGAGCCCAGAGCCUGAAUCAGUGUGUGUGUUAGUGGAAGCGUCUGGAAAGGCGUGCGAUACAGGGUGACAGCCCCGUACACAAAAAUGCACAUGCUGUGAGCUCGAUGAGUAGGGCGGGACACGUGGUAUCCUGUCUGAAUAUGGGGGGACCAUCCUCCAAGGCUAAAUACUCCUGACUGACCGAUAGUGAACCAGUACCGUGAGGGAAAGGCGAAAAGAACCCCGGCGAGGGGAGUGAAAAAGAACCUGAAACCGUGUACGUACAAGCAGUGGGAGCCUCUUUAAUGGGGUGACUGCGUACCUUUUGUAUAAUGGGUCAGCGACUUAUAUUCUGUAGCAAGGUUAACCGAAUAGGGGAGCCGAAGGGAAACCGAGUCUUAACUGGGCGUUAAGUUGCAGGGUAUAGACCCGAAACCCGGUGAUCUAGCCAUGGGCAGGUUGAAGGUUGGGUAACACUAACUGGAGGACCGAACCGACUAAUGUUGAAAAAUUAGCGGAUGACUUGUGGCUGGGGGUGAAAGGCCAAUCAAACCGGGAGAUAGCUGGUUCUCCCCGAAAGCUAUUUAGGUAGCGCCUCGUGAAUUCAUCUCCGGGGGUAGAGCACUGUUUCGGCAAGGGGGUCAUCCCGACUUACCAACCCGAUGCAAACUGCGAAUACCGGAGAAUGUUAUCACGGGAGACACACGGCGGGUGCUAACGUCCGUCGUGAAGAGGGAAACAACCCAGACCGCCAGCUAAGGUCCCAAAGUCAUGGUUAAGUGGGAAACGAUGUGGGAAGGCCCAGACAGCCAGGAUGUUGGCUUAGAAGCAGCCAUCAUUUAAAGAAAGCGUAAUAGCUCACUGGUCGAGUCGGCCUGCGCGGAAGAUGUAACGGGGCUAAACCAUGCACCGAAGUUGCGGCAGCGACACUAUGUGUUGUUGGGUAGGGGAGCGUUCUGUAAGCCGUUGAAGGUGUGCUGUGAGGCAUGCUGGAGGUAUCAGAAGUGCGAAUGCUGACAUAAGUAACGAUAAAGCGGGUGAAAAGCCCGCUCGCCGGAAGACCAAGGGUUCCUGUCCAACGUUAAUCGGGGCAGGGUGAGUCGACCCCUAAGGCGAGGCCGAAAGGCGUAGUCGAUGGGAAACAGGUUAAUAUUCCUGUACUUGGUGUUACUGCGAAGGGGGGACGGAGAAGGCUAUGUUGGCCGGGCGACGGUUGUCCCGGUUUAAGCGUGUAGGCUGAUUUUCCAGGCAAAUCCGGAGAAUCAAGGCUGAGGCGUGAUGACGAGGCACUACGGUGCUGAAGCAACAAAUGCCCUGCUUCCAGGAAAAGCCUCUAAGCAUCAGGUAACAUCAAAUCGUACCCCAAACCGACACAGGUGGUCAGGUAGAGAAUACCAAGGCGCUUGAGAGAACUCGGGUGAAGGAACUAGGCAAAAUGGUGCCGUAACUUCGGGAGAAGGCACGCUGAUAUGUAGGUGAAGCGACUUGCUCGUGGAGCUGAAAUCAGUCGAAGAUACCAGCUGGCUGCAACUGUUUAUUAAAAACACAGCACUGUGCAAACACGAAAGUGGACGUAUACGGUGUGACGCCUGCCCGGUGCCGGAAGGUUAAUUGAUGGGGUCAGCCGCAAGGCGAAGCUCUUGAUCGAAGCCCCGGUAAACGGCGGCCGUAACUAUAACGGUCCUAAGGUAGCGAAAUUCCUUGUCGGGUAAGUUCCGACCUGCACGAAUGGCGUAAUGAUGGCCAGGCUGUCUCCACCCGAGACUCAGUGAAAUUGAACUCGCUGUGAAGAUGCAGUGUACCCGCGGCAAGACGGAAAGACCCCGUGAACCUUUACUAUAGCUUGACACUGAACAUUGAGCCUUGAUGUGUAGGAUAGGUGGGAGGCUUUGAAGUGUGGACGCCAGUCUGCAUGGAGCCGACCUUGAAAUACCACCCUUUAAUGUUUGAUGUUCUAACGUGGACCCGUGAUCCGGGUUGCGGACAGUGUCUGGUGGGUAGUUUGACUGGGGCGGUCUCCUCCUAAAGAGUAACGGAGGAGCACGAAGGUUGGCUAAUCCUGGUCGGACAUCAGGAGGUUAGUGCAAUGGCAUAAGCCAGCUUGACUGCGAGCGUGACGGCGCGAGCAGGUGCGAAAGCAGGUCAUAGUGAUCCGGUGGUUCUGAAUGGAAGGGCCAUCGCUCAACGGAUAAAAGGUACUCCGGGGAUAACAGGCUGAUACCGCCCAAGAGUUCAUAUCGACGGCGGUGUUUGGCACCUCGAUGUCGGCUCAUCACAUCCUGGGGCUGAAGUAGGUCCCAAGGGUAUGGCUGUUCGCCAUUUAAAGUGGUACGCGAGCUGGGUUUAGAACGUCGUGAGACAGUUCGGUCCCUAUCUGCCGUGGGCGCUGGAGAACUGAGGGGGGCUGCUCCUAGUACGAGAGGACCGGAGUGGACGCAUCACUGGUGUUCGGGUUGUCAUGCCAAUGGCACUGCCCGGUAGCUAAAUGCGGAAGAGAUAAGUGCUGAAAGCAUCUAAGCACGAAACUUGCCCCGAGAUGAGUUCUCCCUGAGACUUUAAGUCUCCUGAAGGAACGUUGAAGACGACGACGUUGAUAGGCCGGGUGUGUAAGCGCAGCGAUGCGUUGAGCUAACCGGUACUAAUGAACCGUGAGGCUUAACCUU